CACCCGAUGGUACAAGGUGUGUGCCUUUCACAAAUAUCUUGAACUUGGCAUGAGGAGACUCAAUGUCCCUCGUUCGAUUCGAGGUCGGGUGA